rnacentral:rRNA from 1 species
AUUGAACGCUGGCGGCAUGCCUUACACAUGCAAGUCGAACGGUAACAGGCCGCAAGGUGCCGACGAGUGGCGAACGGGUGAGUAAUGCAUCGGAACGUGCCCAGUCGUGGGGGAUAACUGCUCGAAAGAGCAGCUAAUACCGCAUACGACCUGAGGGUGAAAGCGGGGGACCGUAAGGCCUCGCGCGAUUGGAGCGGCCGAUGUCAGAUUAGCUAGUUGGUGGGGUAAAGGCCUACCAAGGCAACGAUCUGUAGUUGGUCUGAGAGGACGACCAGCCACACUGGGACUGAGACACGGCCCAGACUCCUACGGGAGGCAGCAGUGGGGAAUUUUGGACAAUGGGCGCAAGCCUGAUCCAGCAAUGCCGCGUGCAGGAAGAAGGCCUUCGGGUUGUAAACUGCUUUUGUCAGGGAAGAAAUCUUCUGGGCUAAUACCCCGGGAGGAUGACGGUACCUGAAGAAUAAGCACCGGCUAACUACGUGCCAGCCGCCGCGGUAAGAC